UUUGAUGCUUGUUAAUCUCUUAUGCUAUGCAAGUUGAACGUGUUAAUCGCAAUGCCCUUGAGUCUUGGGGUAUUGCGAUGUUGAACGAUAUGUGAACGAUAUGUGAACGAUGUUGAACGAUGUUGAACGAUAUAUUGAACGAUGUUGAACGAUAUUGAAUGGCAAAGUAGUAACUUGUAUCAUUGUAUUCAUGUUGGAUAUGAGCACAUUUAAACACUUUAUUCUACUAUACUAUGUAUCAAACUUGUAUACUCGCCAACAUAUUUUUGUUGAUUUUAUUUUAAUACAUGUUGCAGGUUGUUAGACGAAGUUAUCAAGAAAACAAGCUAGGAUGGCUUUAGAAACCCAUUUCAGCAAUUAAACAAUGCUUGAAUUUAUGUUUACUAUUUGAAACGAUGUAUCACUCUUUAGUUUUAAUAAAAUGGUUUAAUCUAUAUUGUCACAAUUAGUGUUAUGUUGUUUUGAGC
rnacentral:lncRNA from 1 species